rnacentral:rRNA from 1 species
AUGCGGCCGACACCAUGGCCGUCGUUUCUGGCAGAUCAUAUGGCUGAGGGGAAUGAGAAUCGACCAACUCCAUGGCCAUCAUUUUCAUGCGAUUGCCGAGCAGUGCAGGUCUUGAGCAUGUCAAUGCGUUGGACAUUUUUGAGCAUUGCAGAUCUAAGAGCAUCCUGGACGUAUCUAUUAAGUGUGCACCUGACACCAUGUUCCGGGAAGAAGGUUGUUUGCUGGAUCCAUUCGGUGGCAAGAGCUAUCUCUGUGAUCAGGCGAUUAAUUGAUGUCCGGCUGAAAUGGUGGUCAAAACUACCUAAUGGUGAGCCCCCUGGUGACUGUUAUUCUAGUGUUACUCCUUUUUUUUCACUGGUGACUCUCUCUGUUUAUGUUGUUUGUUCAUUGGAAUCUACUGCGCAUCAAUUUCUGGCUAUUCCUGAACAAGUCAGUGAGUUGGCUGGCACUUUUGGUGUUGACAAAUUUUUUAGCACUAGUAAUCUGCUAUGUGAAAUCCAAAUGCAUUGGAAACUUUCUGAGCAUUGA